GAGGGGGGAGAGAGAGAUGGAGAAUAAGGUAAUGGCUGUGUUAUUGGUGAGGUUAAUGGUUAUGGCCAUGGUAGGAGAAAGAAGUGCAUACUGCAUUCAGAGGUGUUACAAUGAUUGCACGAGCCGGGAGGGCUCUUCCGUUCUCGGCGGCAUCGGUCAUUGCACCGGCUUCUGUGGUGCCAGUGGGAGUCCCCACCGCAAGCCAGAUAUACCCUUAAAAAGUUUAGAAGAUCAUCAAGCUCGCUAAAGCAUCUAGUGACACAGCCAGAAUACCAAACUUGGCUAUUGAUGGGGGUAAUUCUUGGUGGUCGAUGGCCGAGUGAUUUGGGAGCAUGUGGGGGGCCGCUUCUUAUAUGUAAAAAAUUUGAAGGGCGAUUUUUUUAAUGCGUUGGGCUAUUUUUAUUCUUAUGUUCGUGCAACCCACAAGCUUGAGAUUCAACGAGUAUCUUGUUUAAUGUUGAA